rnacentral:ncRNA from 2 species
GGUCAUGAGUGCCAGCGCGAAACCCCGGUUUGCUGGCCGGCAACCCUCCUGAUGCGGUGGGGUGCCCCGGGUGAAGACCUGGUCCGGCGAGAGCCGCCGGUCAAGCGCAGCGC